rnacentral:rRNA from 1 species
AGCCUGAUCCAGCAACGCCGCGUGAGGGAUGACGGCCUUCGGGUUGUAAACCUCUUUUAGUUGGGACGAAGCGAAAGUGACGGUACCUGCAGAAGAAGGACCGGCCAACUACGUGCCAGCAGCCGCGGUAAUACGUAGGGUCCGAGCGUUGUCCGGAAUUAUUGGGCGUAAAGGGCUCGUAGGCGGUUUGUCACGUCGGGAGUGAAAACUCAGGGCUUAACCCUGAGCGUGCUUCCGAUACGGGCUGACUAGAGGGAUGCAGGGGAGAACGGAAUUCCUGGUGUAGCGGUGGAAUGCGCAGAUAUCAGGAGGAACACCGGUGGCGAAGGCGGUUCUCUGGGCAUUUCCUGACGCUGAGGAGCGAAAGCAUGGGGAGCGAACAGGAUUAGAUACCCUGGUAGUCCAUGCCGUAAACGUUGGGCGCUAGGUGUGGGGACCUUCCACGGUUUCCGUGCCGCAGCUAACGCAUUAAGCGCCCCGCCUGGGGAGUACGGCCGCAAGGCUAAAACUCAA